UACGUAGGGGGCGAGCGUUGUCCGGAUUUAUUGGGCGUAAAACGCUUGUAGGUGGCUACGUCAAGUCGGACGUGAAAUCUCCCGGCUUAACUGGGAGGGGUCGCUCGAUACUGGCGAGCUCGAGGCAGGUAGGGGGAAGCGGAAUUCCCGGUGUAGUGGUGGAAUGCGUAGAUAUCGGGAGGAACACCAGUGGCGAAGGCGGCUUCCUGGACCUGUUCUGACACUGAGGAGCGAAAGCGUGGGGAGCGAGCCGG
rnacentral:rRNA from 1 species